rnacentral:rRNA from 1 species
GACGAACGCUGGCGGCGUGCCUAACACAUGCAAGUUGAGCGACGAACCAGGGCUUGCCCUGGGGCAAAGCAGCGAACGGGUGAGUAACACGUGGGUAACCUACCCCGAUAACCGGGACAACCCGAGGAAACUCGGGCUAAUACCGGAUGUGCUCACUGGACUUCGGUUCAGUGCGUAAAGGAAGCUUCGGCCUCCGUAUCGGGAGGGGCCCGCGGCCCAUUAGUUUGUUGGUGAGGUAACGGCUCACCAAGACCGCGAUGGGUAGCUGGUCUGGGAGGACGAUCAGCCACACUGGGACUGAGACACGGCCCAGACUCCGACGGGAGGCAGCAGUGGGGAAGCUUGCGCAAUGCGCGAAAGCGUGACGCAGCAACGCCGCGUGGGGGAAGAAGGCCUUCGGGUUGUAAACCCCUUUCAGGAGGGACGAAGGUUCGGCGGUGAAUAGCCGUCCGGACUGACGGUACCUCCACAAGAAGCCCCGGCUAACUACGUG